rnacentral:rRNA from 1 species
UACGAAGGGGGCUAGCGUUGCUCGGAAUUACUGGGCGUAAAGCGCACGUAGGCGGCUUUCUAAGUCGGGGGUGAAAUCCUGGAGCUCAACUCCAGAACUGCCUUCGAUACUGGAGAGCUCGGGUCCGGGAGAGGUGAGUGGAACUGCGAGUGUAGAGGUGAAAUUCGUAGAUAUUCGCAAGAACACCAGUGGCGAAGGCGGCUCACUGGCCCGGUACUGACGCUGAGGUGCGAAAGCGUGGGGAGCAAACAGG